AUGAGCCGCCGCCGGCGCUCUCAGUGGAUAAUGACGACCACAACUAUGCAAUGGUCUAUGCUCGAGCCCCCCAUUUCACCGUUGUUGGAACGCAUGUCCUGUUUUGACUGUGUGCGCUGCUGCUUCUACUGGACAAAGCCUUAUGGCUGGAGUGACCAUUUGAUGGUGCUGGACACACACACUUUGAGGUUUUCCAUUGUUAAUCUUCUCACUGGCUACCAUGUAGAGCUCAGAGAUCUGCAUGACCAGAGCUUUGGUCUUCAGCCUCGCCCAAUUGCAAUUGUGAUGGGCCAAGAAGGAGUCCUUGAGAUGUUUUCUCUUGUCUGUCAAUACGGGUCGUUUGCCCUCUACCAUACCACUCUGAAGAAUAAUUCGCAGCAGUGGAAGCUAGAGAAGAUCAUACAGCUUCCUGGGCAGUAUCAUUCCAUUUGCACUAUCGGUUUAGCUGAGGGAUUCUUGUUCUUCCGAGGCGCUCCAGAAGGUAUUCAUAUUGGGAAUGUGGAUUGUUACUCAAUGGAGUUCAAGACUUAUGAAAUUACUAAAGUCUGCACAAAGAUGGAGAAUACCUACAAUCCCAGACGUGCCCUCCCAUACUUUAGCUUCCCACCGCUGUUAUCAGAACCAACUAUCUGA
rnacentral:rRNA from 1 species